AGUGAACGCUGGCGGUAGGCCUAACACAUGCAAGUCGAACGGCAGCACAGUAAGAGCUUGCUCUUACGGGUGGCGAGUGGCGGACGGGUGAGGAAUACAUCGGAAUCUACUUUUUCGUGGGGGAUAACGUAGGGAAACUUACGCUAAUACCGCAUACGACCUACGGGUGAAAGCAGGGGAUCUUCGGACCUUGCGCGAUUGAAUGAGCCGAUGUCGGAUUAGCUAGUUGGCGGGGUGAAGGCCCACCAAGGCGACGAUCCGUAGCUGGUCUGAGAGGAUGAUCAGCCACACUGGAACUGAGACACGGUCCAGACUCCUACGGGAGGCAGCAGUGGGGAAUAUUGGACAAUGGGCGCAAGCCUGAUCCAGCCAUACCGCGUGGGUGAAGAAGGCCUUCGGGUUGUAAAGCCCUUUUGUUGGGGAAGAAAAGCAGCAGGUUAAUACCCCGCUGUUCUGACGGUACCCAAAGAAUAGGCACCGGCUAACUUCGUG
rnacentral:rRNA from 1 species